rnacentral:rRNA from 1 species
AAGGUCUCCGUUGGUGAACCAGCGGAGGGAUCAUUAUCGAGUUUAAAUCAAGCUCAAAACCCUUCUGUGUACCGUCAAAACGUUGCCUCGGCGGGCUCUCCGCCCGCCGGUGGCCGCAACCAAAACCCUUCCAUACAACAUGAGUCUGAGUGGACAAAACAAAAUAAGUCAAAACUUUCAGCAACGGAUCUCUUGGCUCUGGCAUCGAUGAAGAACGCAGCGAAAUGCGAUAAGUAAUGUGAAUUGCAGAAUUCAGCGAACCAUCGAAUCUUUGAACGCACAUUGCGCCCGCUGGUACUCCGGCGGGCAUGCCUGUCCGAGCGUCGUCAAAAACCCCUCCGGCCCGUUCCUCCUCCAUCGGGGAGGCUUCGCGGCCGGGCGUUGGGGCACCGCCGGACCCACAGCGGUCCAGCGGGCCUUCAAAUCCAGCGGCGGACGCCCCUGAGCCCCCCAGCGCAGUAGCUUCGGUCUCGCUGAUGGUAGCCGGGAGCGGUCCCUAGCCCCCUAGCGGAAGCCCUCUCACCAGGGCCCACGCGACCCCCCUCAUCAAGUUUGACCUCGGAUCAGGUAGGACUACCCGCUGAACUUAAGCAUAUCAAUAAGCGGAGGAAAAGAAACCAAC